AGCGAACGCUGGCGGCAGGCCUAACACAUGCAAGUCGAACGGAUCCUUCGGGAUUAGUGGCGGACGGGUGAGUAACACGUGGGAACGUGCCCUUUGGUUCGGAACAACUCAGGGAAACUUGAGCUAAUACCGGAUGUGCCCUUCGGGGGAAAGAUUUAUCGCCAUUGGAGCGGCCCGCGUCUGAUUAGCUAGUUGGUGAGGUAACGGCCCACCAAGGCGACGAUCAGUAGCUGGUCUGAGAGGAUGAUCAGCCACACUGGGACUGAGACACGGCCCAGACUCCUACGGGAGGCAGCAGUUGGGAAUCUUGCGCAAUUGGCGAAAGCCUGACGCAGCCAUUCCGGGUGAAUGAUGAAGGUCUUAGGAUUGUAAAAUUCUUUCAGCGGGGACGAUAAUGACGGUACCCGCAGAAGAAGCUCCGGCUAACUUCGUG
rnacentral:rRNA from 1 species